rnacentral:rRNA from 1 species
GAUGAACGCUGGCGGCGUGCCUAAUACAUGCAAGUCGAGCGAACAGACGAGGAGCUUGCUCCUUUCACGUUUGCGGCGGACGGGUGAGUAACACGUGGAUCACCUACCUAUAUUACUGGGAUAACUUCGGGAAACCGGCGCUUAUCCCGGAGAAUCUCUUGAACCGCAUGGUUCAAUAGUGAAAGACGGCUUUGCUGUCACUUAUCGAUGGAUCCGCGCCGCAUUGGCUAGUUGGUAGGGUCACGGCUUACCACGGCGACCAUGCGUAGCCGACCGGCGAGAGUGGUCGGCGGCACUGGAAGUGAGACAGGGACCAGACUCCUACGAGAGGCAGCAGUAGGCAAUCGUCCGCAGUGGGCGAAAGCUUGACGGAGCGACGCCGCGUGUGUGAUGAAGGUCUUCGGAGCGUAAAGCUCUGUUACUAGGUGAGAACAACUGUGUAAGUAACUGAGGACGGCGUGACGGUACUUAAUCAGAAAGCAACGGCUAACUACGUG